rnacentral:misc_RNA from 1 species
GAUGAAGAACGUAGCGAAAUGCGAUAAGUAAUGUGAAUUGCAGAAUUCAGUGAAUCAUCGAAUCUUUGAACGCACCUUGCACCCUUUGGCAUUCCGAAGGGUAUGCUCGUUUGAGUGUCAUUGUACUCUCACUCUCCCGAUACUUUUGGAUCGGGAGUGGUGGACUUGGGUGUUGCUGCUUAACUGUGGCUCGCCUUAAAUGAAGUAGUGCAACUCUCGGUUGGACAUAGUACGGCGUGAUAAGUGUCUUCGCCGGCGCCUCAUUCGAGGGUGGCCGAUCGGGAGCUCUGUGCUUCAAACUGUCUUCGGACAACAUCUGACAACUUGACCUCAAAUCGAGUAGGACUACCCGCUGAACUUAAGCAUAUCAAUAAGCGGAGGA